ACAUGCAAGUCGAACGGAAAGGCUCCUGCUUGCAGGGGUACUCGAGUGGCGAACGGGUGAGUAACACGUGGGUGAUCUGCCUUGCACUCUGGGAUAAGCUUGGGAAACUGGGUCUAAUACCGGAUAGGAACCGUCUUUAGUGUGGUGGUUGGAAAGUUUUUUCGGUGCAAGAUGAGCUCGCGGCCUAUCAGCUUGUUGGUGGGGUAAUGGCCUACCAAGGCGUCGACGGGUAGCCGGCCUGAGAGGGUGUACGGCCACAUUGGGACUGAGAUACGGCCCAGACUCCUACGGGAGGCAGCAGUGGGGAAUAUUGCACAAUGGGCGGAAGCCUGAUGCAGCGACGCCGCGUGGGGGAUGACGGCCUUCGGGUUGUAAACUCCUUUCGACAGGGACGAAGCGCAAGUGACGGUACCUGUAUAAGAAGCACCGGCUAACUACGUGCCAGCAGC
rnacentral:rRNA from 1 species